rnacentral:tmRNA from 1 species
GGGGGCGACACGGCUUCGACGGGGGUAAAGACUCGCGGGAUGCAUGCCGAGCCCCAUCGACUCGUAAAUCCGAUGGAACAUCCGUUAACUGCGGAUACUCAGUACGCUCUCGCUGCUUAAUAAGCAGUGAGCGUCUGCCCUGACCUCGCCUGGUGGUUGGGGGCCAGAUGUCAUUAGACAGGCUGGCGGUCGGACGGCGGCUCGGCGUCUGGUCGUGAGAAUUACCGGGUCUGGUGCCUGGCGGUUUUUAGCCGUUUCCUCACGUCGGGCAUGAGAAAUCAGAAACGGACACGCAUGUAGAGUCCCACGGGGAAGUGCUCUCGGACGCGGGUUCGACUCCCGCCGCCUCCACCA